GGAGGGAGGGAAGAAGGAAGGAAGGAAGGAAGGAAGGAAGGAAGGAAGGAAGGAAGGAAGAAAGGAAGGAAGAAAGGAAGGAAGGAAGGAAAAAUUCAAAAUCUUUUUUGGGUUGAAAGUAACAAAAUACAUUAAGUUUUUUAAGAGCUGUACUUGUGGGUAGGGUUUAAGAUUUACAGCCGUGAUUAUCCCUUGCUUGCUGACGCAAAUUAGUCUUCUAGGAAGUUCAAGUUAUUUCUCAAUAAGCUUUAAUAGUCUCUGAGUCAGAGUGGGUGCUGAUGAUAAUGAGUCUUGUAGGAUUUAUAGGAAGGCGACUGAGAAAUAGAAGCCCAUGUCCACCAAAUAUCCUUUAAAAUAGUGUAAAAAAAAUCUCCUGAAUGAGAGCCUUUGUUCUAGCAGGGUCUUUCUGCUUCUUAGUAAAGAAAAUUCCCAUAGGAAAACUCUCUAAAAUCAGCUUCCAGCUCAGUGUGGUCUUCCUGAAUUCAUUCUUUGGAUUGUGGUGGUGGCACAGUCAGACCCAGAUGGGUGAUGAUGUUCUCUGGUCUUCACUGGACUACGUCUUAAGGGCUGUACAUUAUGUAGUAGAAGCAGUUUGGAUUGUCAAGUCUGGUCUAUCUCUAAGAGUGGAACUUUGUAUUGGCUUACCUCAUAAGGCUAUGCCUUACAUUGAAGAAUCAGAUUGUCCUGUCCUGUUUGAAUCUCCUUGUUUCAUAAUCUCUGUUUCUGUUGGUGCUGAAGCUACCCUGAGACCUGGCUCUGUUUCCUAAUAAACUUCUGAAUGGAGUACUCUAUAAUUAUGGCUGUCAGAGACAUAUUCCACAGUCUUCUGAACACAUUGACUGGUGUUCUCAAGUUGUUUGUACAUGCCAUCCAUGAAAAAAUAAAACAAUGGAAUGGAUAGAAUAUUGAUGUCAUCUUCCAAAGACUUUGCUCAGUCAGUUUUUGUCUACUGCCUAGUGUAUGUUGAGUAUCCUGGCUCAUUGCCAACUCUGGACUUAUCACUUAUUCGAGGAGUCUUUCCAGAAUAGGAGCAAAGGAAAACAGAGCAAAAUACUUGUUCUGGAAACAUCCUAGCCUUAUUUGAGUACAUCUGCCUCAACUCCUGAAGGUUAGCUCCCAGCAACAGGAGAGCAAAAACCUGUCAUGAGAACCCACAAAAGUCUGUUUAACAAUUUAUUUUGUAAGGAGUGAAAUGGAAAAACAAACUCAUGAAUACAGAACGAAGUAGACUCUGUCUUUGAUCUAGCUGCCAUCGUCCAGCCCUUCUGCCCAAGUGUGAAGAGGACCAACUGCAAGCUGCUUCUCUGCUACUUGCUCUGACUUGGACCACACAAAGAGAGAAGGAGAGCAACUCCCUCCUCGGUUUUAUCCAGUCAUGUAUUCAGAGAAAGCCAUGCCCAUAAGGCUAGUUACCCCAAAAGCCAUUGGCUAAAUGGAUCAAUUCAUCAAAUUCCCACAACAAAGACCUUAACAUCUAACUUUUUGUUCUUAUCUUCCUGUUCCUCCGAGCCAAGUUACUUAUCACAAAAAGGCUUCCUAGAAGAAAAUAGCAAUUUAGAAACAUAUGAAACAAUGCCAUUUAAGUGGAGCUGUCUGCUGUCUAAUGUGUUAUCUGUUUUUUUUUUUUUGACCAUUUGCAAUUAGAAUGAACAUUCCAAAAGGACCACAGAGCUCUGAAUCUGUGUUAGUAAAUUUGGUAACUGCUGUGUCACAAAUCCCAAAGAAGUAUGUAUUACCAGGAGAAAUACAAUACACAUUGAAUACACAGUCAAUGAAUAAUAUUAUCUGUCAUUUUCCAAAUUCUGAUCAUUUUGUAAAUUUACCUGCAGUUAGUAUAAAUCUCUGGUUCAUACAACUCUUUCAUACUAAAACUGUUUCUAAAAUAUGCUUAGAAAAACCUGGUUGCUGAACAUAGCAUCUCAACUCUUCCUCUGAGAUUCUGAUUCUCUAGGUCUGAGAUGGAGAUUGGUACUGAGAAGGGUGAAUGUGAUCAAAUAUGUGUUAUACAUGUCACUAUAAAGCCUAUAGUGUUGUAUAGGGAAUGUACAUCAAUAGCCGUUUGAAAAGGAAGGACUCAGAAGAUACAACUCAGUUAGUAAAGUUUUGCCACUCCAUUCUGAGGGCCUAGUUCCAUCCUCAGACCCCAUUGCUGGGCAAGUACUUGAAAUUCUAGCUAGCUUUGGGUAAGUAGAGACAGGGAGAUCCCCCAUGCUCACAGACCAGCAGCCUAGCAGAAUCAUCAAGAGACCUGCAUCAAAAAACAAAACAAAACAAACAAAAACAAGGUAGACAGGACCUGAGAACAACUUCCAAGGUUUACUCUGGCCUCUGUUCAAUCACAUACCUCCUUCCCCACACAUACAUACACACAAAGAAACACGAGCUCACAUACAAAACAAAUAACAUUUUAAAAGGAACUAUAUCUGCCUUAUAAGUUACUCCCAUUAUCAAGGAUACUCUUAUCACUAGGUUACUUUGAGCACUAUGACUUUAAAAAUACAAACUGUACAAAAGUAACUGCCCAAUAUAGCGUUUGUCAUCAACAAUAUGGAAUAAACUAGGACUUCCUUAUAUUGUUCUUGGACAAAGCCCAUGGAAAAACAUAUGGUAACUGGAUUCUGUCGUUUGUAUUUCUGUUUAUUGAACAUAUCAAUAAAAAUU
rnacentral:lncRNA from 1 species